GAAGAUGGCGGCGCACAAGUCAGGUCCGGCACAUGUUUCCGCGGAGCGGACCCAGCAAUGACGGAUGAUAUCACCUCUUCUUCUCUGGUGAGAGUCUGAGGAUAGAGACUUUUUUCUCACCAUGAAUGUCACCCCAGAGGUCAAGAGUCGUGGGAUGAAGUUUGCUGAGGAGCAGCUGCUAAAGCAUGGAUGGACUCAAGGUAGGACAUGACCCUGCCAAGGAGUUCACAAACCACUGGUGGAAUGAGCUCUUCAACAAGACUGCGGCCAACUUGGUAGUGGAAACUGGGCAGGAUGGAGUACAGAUAAGGAGCCUUUCUAAGGAGACCACCCGUUAUAAUCAUCCCAAGCCCAACUUGCUGUAUCAGAAGUUUGUGAAGGUAUUAGAGGCUGUGGGUAACAGAGUCCAUCCUUUUUCUCUUCCCUGGUUUCCCUGGGGCCUGAACAGUUGCCUUGUAUGCCUUAUCAAUUCUCAGAACUUUCCUAACAUAGUGGGAUCCUGUGACCAGCCUUGCUGUUGCUUACUUAGACUGCCCAGACCCUCAGCAGGAAUUGAGAUCUUCAGGUUCCGUGGAUCCUGCCAUCUGUUAAGGGAGCAGCAAUAGGGCGUGGGAGGUAGGGUACAGUCUCUUAAGUCAGGAGCUGCCAAAUUUUGGGGGGGCCAGGGGACAUCUAAUUCAAAGGACUUAGAAGCCAGAGGAGACCUGAGAGAUUAUCUGGACCAUCCCUGCUUUGCAGAUGUGGCUAAAAGGGUGAAAAGUGGUUUGCUGAAGAGCCCACAGCUGGCUAGUAAUGGCAAACAGGACUGGAACCCAGGACUUCAGGCCUCCACUUUCUACUGUACCAAUAGGAGGAAGCUAACAUGUAAUGGUCAUUAUGUGCUAAGGGCUAUACAUGUUACCUAGCAAAUCUUUCCCAUUUCUCUACAUCUCUGUUACCAUCUACUACCCCACUUCGGGCCAUCAUCAUCUCUUGCCUAAUUUCUUUCUCCAGCAGCCUCCUAAGAACACCUGUAGUCUCACUCCCCACCCCAACCUUUGUGGAGGAUGGACUUCUCCACAAAGCAUCCAGUGUUCUCUCUAAAACAUAAAUGUCAUCAUGUCACUGGGUCUUGUUUGACCUAGGAUGACACAAUCCAGAUUUAUCGGACUGGCUUAUAUGGCUCUGCAUGCCUGUUCCUGCCAUCUCCAGCCUCAUCUCUUCACUUUUCUCCAGGACCACUACUUUAGCCUAACCAUUAGCAUAACAGAUUCCAAUCUGUUUCUUUUCUUUGAAGGUACGACAGUCUUCCAUCUUCAGGUUAUUGCACAUGUUGCUCCCUCUGCUUGGGACAUUCUUCUCCCUUUCCCCCUUUACCUUCUGAGUUUCUCUUAUCCUCCAGAGCUCAGCUUAUACAUCAGUUACUUUUAGAAGCCAUUCUCUGAAGUCUGAGUUGAGUACCCUUCCUCUAUCACAGGCAACACUUCCAUCAUAAUUGCCUAUGUAGAUUCCAUCUGGGCUGGGCCCAUCUCAUUCUUAUUCCACUCUGAAUCCCCAACUCCUUGGCCCAUAGUAGACUCUCAAUUAAUCUGAUUAAAUGAAGGUACUGUGAACAGGUACUAUGGUCGGGGUGGAGCGGGGCAUCUUUACUGUCAGUCACUGGCACUUGUCCACUGUGAAGACCUGAUGAACCAGAGCAUUUCCUCUUCUUGUUCUGCUCACCAGCCAGCUGUGGGUGAGAGAGGCCAAAGCUGCUGCACAUCCCAGCAGCAGCAGCCCAUCUCCUAUCCAAGUUCGAGUAUGCAGGAUGGCACACCUCCCUGUGGCUCCUCAAGGAGCAAUGGUGGGGGCUGGCAAACCACUGCCUGGAGCUAUAAAUUCUUAGGGGGCUUCCACAAGGGAAUAGGGAUGGUGAUGGUGUUGAGAAGGCCUUAUCUACCCCCAUGACCCCUCCUAGAUGGCUACAUUGACUUCAGGUGGAGAGAAGCCAAACAAAGACUUGGAGAGCUGCAGUGAUGACGACAACCAGGGGUCCAAGUCCCCAAAGAUGUGAGACUUCAUUUUAGCUCUUGGGGAAUGUGGGAAGAGAUGUCUUCAGAUGGCAAGAGAAAGGGCUAAAUCUAAUGCUUGACUGGGGGCUUCUUGGGGGUGGGUGGAACUGUGUUGUACUAAUCUUUGUAUCCCUAGUACCUCAAAAAGUGCCAGGUCCUGAACAAGAAUUCAGUGUUGAAGGAAUGUUUUAGAAGGAGGAGAGGUCAAGCCUUUCCACCAGGUCUGUUUGUAACUGCUGAUCUCCCCUAACAGUCUGACUGAUGAGAUGCUGCUCCAAGCCUGUGAGGGGCGAACAGCACACAAGGCUGCCCGUCUUGGGAUCACAAUGAAGGCCAAGCUUGCUCGCCUAGAGGCCCAGGAGCAGGCCUUCCUGGCUCGUCUCAAAGGCCAGGACCCUGGGGCCCCUCAACUGCAGUCAGAGAGCAAGCCCCCC
rnacentral:lncRNA from 1 species